GGAUUUACAUCCGGAGUUUUCUUCCUUUUGCUUCUAGAAAGCAAGCUUCUCUUGCUUACUGGUUCCCAUGAGGGUUCUUGGAUUGACUUUUACCAGGAAAAUCUGGGUACCUUCUCAUCCCUGCCUCUAUCACUCAGGCCAGUAGGACCUUCUGAUUGGCCAGGUCUGGGACAUGUGCCAACCCUCCAAUCCCUGAAACCGGGCAUCGGUGUUGACCUUGCCCAACCACAUGGCUAGAGAGUAGGGGAGGAGACAUGGGAGUGAAUAUUGGUGAGGGUAAAGAGAGAUGUUCACAACAGACACUUUGCUCCUUGGACAUUGACAUCCUAGGGACUGUUGCCUGUUUAGAAAGGCGUUGCUGCCACAUGGCGGUUCUUGGGUGACCUCGGCAUAUGAGCAGGGGAAGGUCUGAAACAGUGGGAGGCUCUUAUUUCGGAGAGUUGAGCACAGAAUGUUGGAGUCCUUUUUGAUUGCAAAGUCACCCACAAAGGCAUGUGUGUCCCUGCAGCUUGGGCUACAGAUGGGCAGUGAAGCAUGCGCGCACGCACACACACACGCGCACACUCUGAGAGACUGACUUCAGAUGAGCUUUUAUUAGCUAACAUAUCAUCUGUGCAAAGAAGAGACUCACAUGUGAGCGUUUGCAUGAUUUGAAGGAGAGAAAAAUAUGCCUGCCAGAUUCUUUACUUCCACCCCAAAGGAAGGGACCAGAGUGACCUCAGCAACCUGGGUGGCUGCAUUUUCUCUAAGCACCUGUUCCUUGUCUUCUAAAUCUGAAAUGGGAGAGGUCAAAUCAUGAGCCAUGGGCAGCGGGGAAAGAGUCUAGAGGGAGGAGAAGGGUCUCCAUCCACUGCCACCCGUCAACAUAUCAGCCAACCUGUGACAGUAUUUAUCAAGCACGUUCUCUGUCUCUCCAACUUGUGACUGAGGACAAAGAGGAUGCCAGUGAAGCAAGACACAGAGACUCUGUCUCCAAGGACAUUGCAAGUCACCUGGGGACUUCAUUUAUUCACUUAUUCAUCAGAUGUUUUCUAUCUUGUUCAUUAUUGUAUUGCCAGAAUCUUGCACAAUGCCUGGCUCACAAUAGGUGCUUACCAAAUAUUUAUUGGAUGGACAAGUUAGCGAAGAAAUGAGAAAAUGAACUGUAUUAGACAUUGUGACAACAAGACUGUGAAUCUGCCUUGAGAAAUUCACAGCUGAUUAGGGGGAAAUAGACAUCCGUCACUGAUUCUGUUGUACCCUCCUGCAGCCUGCCUGACUACACCUUGUGUUUGACACAAUUGUCCACUCUCUGAUCACUGAAGCUCAUCCCCCGUCCCCCACCCUUGGUUUUCAUGCUCUACUUUCUGUGCUGUUUCUCUUCAACCUCUGUUGAGCCCCCAAAUUAUUCACUUGUUAAAUGAAUAAUUCCAUAGAUAUCUAUGGAUUCUAUUCAUGUGCCAGUGUAUUCUAGAUACUAGAGAUAAUACAACGUACAACACAGACUAACUCGUUCUCUAGGAACUUCAACCUCCCACUCUAAACUCUCUCGCUUGACCUCUGGACUUGACAUUCUAUUAGAUGUCCAAAGGGACAUUCAUUGUCUCCCACUCUGGACCAUCCCUUUCUCCUGUGUUAUAAGGCUCAGGAGUUGGCUCUUCCUAAUAUCCAGUUUCCCAAACCAGAGAUGGGGAACUCACCGUAGGCUGCUCCCUCUUUUCCAACCUCCCACCCCCAAUAGGCCUCUAGUCCUGAAGUUUCCAUAUAUCACACAUCUCCUACAGCCUCCUUUUCCCCACCCUCUUUGCACAAGUGUUCUUUAUUUCUUGCCUGUGGCCGCCAUAUUGGUCUCCCUUCCAACUAAUCUAUCCACUGCAACUUAUCUCUCCCCUGCAGCCAGAGGAAUCUAAGAUCCCAACCGUGUCAUAUUUUUUCAUUACUGAAAAGCCUGAGGGCCUCCCAUGACCCUAGGGUGAGAACCCAAGCCUUUUUAUACAACCUACAAGGCCCAUCAUGAACCAUCCCUCUCUAACUCCCCAGCCUCAGCUCUCACAUGGCCCAUGCAGAUCUGCUCACUGUUCCUUCAGCAUGCCUGCCUAUGUCAGCCUGAAACCCUUUGCUUAUGCAUCUUUCUUCUACGCAGCUGUUUCUUAUAUUCUCCUGUGUAGAACUGGCCUCUUCCUUCCUCACACCCCUCUUGUGCCCUGUCAUCUUUCUCUCCUCUUGCACUUGUUUACAUUCCUUCCUUUUUUUAUCCUACAAUGGAAGGGGCAGGGUUUUAGUAUUCCCAGGGUCUUGCACUUGUAGGUGACUGUAGCAGACACUAUUGGUGCUCUACCUUAUUUCUUCUACUCUCCUACACCAGCUGCAGGCUUUGUACCGCAAGCCUCUGUGACUCUCUUCCUGACGGUUUUCUCCAGCCAUAAGAGCUUGUUUGGGAUAUGAAUGGGGAAGAAUGGAAGCGCCAGGGAGUUAAUGCUCUAGGGAGCACUGGUGGGUAAAUAACAGGUUAAAAAAUAUGUCAAAUAAGAAUAGACAUUGGUGGAUUGAUAGCCUGGCAUCCUUACUCCUUGGGUGGGACAACUCUGAGAUUUUUUUUACACCCUCUUCCAGGGGUCCAAAUUGUGAAUGUGUGCAGUUGUGACAGUGGUAACAUGUUCAUUAAUACACUCUUCCCCGACAUCACAUCCCCACUCCUGAACUGGGGCUUCCUGGGAUCAUCUCCAAAAUAAACCAUUGCACUCGAAUCUUUGUCUCAAAGUCUGCUUCUGUGGGAACCCAACUAA
rnacentral:lncRNA from 1 species